UCCGAGUUACCCCGGCAGUCUCCUAUGAGUCCCCAACUUUACUUGCUGGCAACAUAGGACGAAGGUUGCGCUCGUUGCGGGACUUAACCCAACAUUUCACGACACGAGCUGACGACAGCCAUGCAGCACCUGUGCUGGUGUUCCGAAGAAGGGCCCCGGUUUCUUGAGGCUUUCACCAGCAUGUCAAACCUAGGUAAGGUUCUUCGCGUUGCUUCGAAUUAAACCACAUGCUCCACCGCUUGUGCGGGCCCCCGUCAAUUCCUUUGAGUUUCAGCCUUGCGGCCGUACUUCCCAGGCGGGGCACUUAUCGCGUUAGCUGCGGCACCGAAGGGGUCGCUCCCCCCGGCACCUAGUGCCCAUCGUUUACGGCGUGGACUAC
rnacentral:misc_RNA from 1 species